rnacentral:rRNA from 1 species
GAUCCUGGCUCAGAUUGAACGCUGGCGGAAUGCUUUACACAUGCAAGUCGAACGGUAGAGGGGGCAACCCCUUGAGAGUGGCGAACGGGUGAGUAAUAUAUCGGAACGUGCCCAGUCGUGGGGGAUAACGUAGCGAAAGUUACGCUAAUACCGCAUACGAUCUAAGGAUGAAAGCGGGGGACCGUAAGGCCUCGCGCGAUUGGAGCGGCCGAUGUCAGAUUAGCUAGUUGGUGGGGUAAAGGCUCACCAAGCCAACGAUCUGUAGCUGGUCUGAGAGGACGACCAGCCACACUGGGACUGAGACACGGCCCAGACUCCUACGGGAGGCAGCAGUGGGGAAUUUUGGACAAUGGGCGCAAGCCUGAUCCAGCAAUGCCGCGUGCAGGAAGAAGGCCUUCGGGUUGUAAACUGCUUUUGUACGGAACGAAAAGGUUUCUAUUAAUACUAGGAGCUCAUGACGGUACCGUAAGAAUAAGCACCGGCUAACUACGUG